rnacentral:rRNA from 1 species
CUCGCUACGCUNAUAGUCGCUUGCGACUAUAAGUUAGCGUGUGAGUGGCAAACGGGUGAGUAACACGUGGAUAACCUGCCUUAAAGUCAUGAACAGCUCAUCGAAAGAUGGGAUAAUACAUGAUAGUCUUACAAUUUCUAUCCGACUUUGUAAGUAAAGCUCCGGCGCUUUAAGAGGGGUCCGCGUCCUAUCAGCUUGUUGGUGAGGUAAUAGCUCACCAAGGCUAAGACGGGUAGCUGGCGUGAGAGCGCGGUCAGCCACCAUGGAACUGAGACACGGUCCAUACUCCUACGGGAGGCAGCAAUUAGGAAUCUUGCGCAAUGGGGGCAACCCUGACGCAGCGACACAGCGUGGAGGAUGACGGUCUUCGGAUUGUAAACUCCUUUUAUGUGGGAAGAAUAGAUGACGGUACCAUAUGAAUAAGCACCUGCUAACUACGUGCCAGAAGCAUCGGUGAUACGUAGGGUGCGAACGUUAUCCGGAUUUAUUGGGCGUAUAGAGAUGCGUAGGCGUUUCUGUAAGUCUAAAGUUAAAGCCCACGGCUCAACCGUGGAAAAGCUUUGGAAACUGCAGAAAUUGAGACAGGAAGAGGCGAAUGGAAUUCCCAGUGGAGCGGUGAAAUGCGUUGAUAUUGGGAGGAACAUCAGUGGCGAAGGCGAUUCGCUGGUCCUUGUCUGACGCUGAGGCUCGAAAGCGUGGGUAGCAAAACGGAUUAGAUACCCGUGUAGUCCACGCCGUAAACUAUGGAUGCUAGGUGUUCGGUACAACUCUUUUUUCCUUCGGGAAAGAAUGGAAGUAUUGAGUGCCGCAGCUAACGCGUUAAGCAUCCCGCCUGGGAAGUACGGNCGCAAGG